UACGGAGGGGGGUUAGCGUUUGUUCGGAAUUACUGGGGCGUAAAAGCGCACGUAGGCGGAUCAGAAAGUUGGGGGGUGAAAUCCCGGGGCUCAACCCCGGAACUGCCUCCAAAACUCCUGGUCUUGAGUUCGAGAGAGGUGAGUGGAAUUCCGAGUGUAGAGGUGAAAUUCGUAGAUAUUCGGAGGAACACCAGUGGCGAAGGCGGCUCACUGGCUCGAUACUGACGCUGAGGUGCGAAAAGUGUGGGGAGCAAACAGGAUUAGAUACCCCGGUAGUCC
rnacentral:rRNA from 1 species